UUCCUUUCACGUCUCCUUUCUCCUCUCCUCAGGUGAUGUCGCCGCCACCAUGGAUGGCACCUAGAGGUCAGAUCCAGAAGGACAUAGAGGAGAAAAUCCCAAAGGGCGACUGAAGGAGAAGCAGGAAGAACAAUCCACAAAGUUUCUCACCACGUGUACUAAAGUUGCACAAGAUCGAUGUCAGCUACAAAAGCUACAUGGGGUAGCAAAUCCAAAUGUCAACAAGGAGAGCAUGCAAUGUCUUACAGGAGCAAAGGUGCCAAAAAUUACACAUGUGGAAUACUAGAAACUGGAAAGUCAAUAUGCAGACAACCAUCAAAACAAUAAGG